UACAGAGGUCUCAAGCGUUGUUCGGAUUCAUUGGGCGUAAAGGGCGCGUAGGCGGUGCGGUAAGUCACCUGUGAAAUCUCCUGGCUCAACUGGGAGCUUGCAGGCGAAACUGCCGUGCUGGAGUGUGGGAGAGGUGCGUGGAAUUCCCGGUGUAGCGGUGAAAUGCGCAGAUAUCAGGAAGAACACCCGUGGCGAAGGCGGCUCUCUGGGACGGUACUGACGCUGAGACGCGAAAGCGUGGGGAGCGAACAGG
rnacentral:rRNA from 1 species